rnacentral:rRNA from 1 species
CCUACGGGGGGCUGUAGUGGGGAAUAUUGGACAAUGGGGGCAACCCUGAUCCAGCCAUGCCGCGUGUGUGAAGAAGGCCCUCGGGUUGUAAAGCACUUUCAGUGAGGAAGAACGCCUGGUGGUUAAUACCCAUCAGGAAAGACAUCACUCACAGAAGAAGCACCGGCUAACUCCGUGCCAGCAGCCGCGGUAAUACGGAGGGUGCGAGCGUUAAUCGGAAUUACUGGGCGUAAAGCGCGCGUAGGUGGCGUGAUAAGCCGGUUGUGAAAGCCCCGGGCUCAACCUGGGAACGGCAUCCGGAACUGUCAAGCUAGAGUGCAGGAGAGGAAGGUAGAAUUCCCGGUGUAGCGGUGAAAUGCGUAGAGAUCGGGAGGAAUACCAGUGGCGAAGGCGGCCUUCUGGACUGACACUGACACUGAGGUGCGAAAGCGUGGGUAGCAAACAGGAUUAGAUACCCCGGUAGUC